rnacentral:lncRNA from 1 species
AGAGGCGCAAGACUCACCUUUUAAACCAGGCUAUUCACUGAUUGUCUUCUCUUAUGUCUCUUAAUUCUAAUCUUCAUUUUAAUCAAUGUUCUUAUGUUUAUUAUAUGUAAUGUUUAUUUUAUGCAUUUUUACCAAUUGUGUUUAUCAACUCAUUGACGUUGUUUUACUAUUCCUAUAUAUUUUUUCUCUCUUAGUCUUUUUCUUAAUUCCCUGCAAUGAGGUUUUUACGUCUUUCACCUCUCUUCAUGGUAAAGAGCGCUUAUUUGUUUGUUCAUUUUAUAUUAUGUUCUUGUCUUAGACCAUCAGGUUUUAGGCUUUCUGUUCAUCAUUUUUUAUCUUUUUAUCUCCAGUUUUUCCCCAAAGGCAGCUCUUUCCUCACACGAUGUCUUGGUGUCAAGCCAUGUCUCUUAAGCAUAACAUCUUAUAUGCUUGCUAUGUGUGCGCUUGUGUCCGUGCGCUUUUGAGAGGGUGGGCGUGUGUGUCUUUGUGUGUGUUUGUGUGGGUCUUUGGGUGUAUGUGUGGGUGGGACGGUUGGGUUUUAUUGUUUUUUUUUUAGCCUCCGUGAAGCACUUUGAAUUACAUUCUUGUACGAAAAGUGCCAUAUCAAUAAAGUUGAAUUAGAAUUUAGUCUUUCACAGUGUGAUACAUAGUCUGAGAAAUAACCCCUGCUGCCUUCCCUGGAUUUUACGUGAGUAUAGUGCUGUUUUGAAGGGGCUGUUUUGCGUGUACAAUUGCCUCUGUACAAAGCCAAAAGUUUUGUGGUAAUUCAGAAAACAAAAUGUUUUAUGUCUACUCUAAAUUUACAGUGUGCUGUAGCUUCUAAAUCUGCUUUAGAUAAGAUUCAAAUACAAAAAGUAAUUAAUAUUGGGUGUCCAGAAGGGACCAAAGCAAACCUAUGGAGCCAGAUCAGGCUCAAAAGUAUUGAUUGUUUACCAAAAGUAGUGUAAGUGAAAAAAUAAAAGGUGAAGUGGAAAAAUAAGAUUUGAACCUGAAAAAAAUAAAAUGGUACCUGAAAGUCUUGAAUUUCGAAAUUGAACUUUGCAAAAUCCCAGAAUGCAUGAGAAAAAUUUGUUCAAAUGUAACUUUGAUUCUGUUUUUUAAUACUUUUGAAUAAAUUACUUAUUUCUAUUUUUCACUUCAAUUUAUAUUUUGAUCUUGGAGUACUUUUUUUUUUUCGAUUGAAUUUUAUUUAUUUAUUUCAGAUUCAGAUCUUAUUUUUACGGAUUCAAAACUUUUUUUUCGGUUUUAGAUUAUUUUUCAGAUUCAGAUCUUUUUUCGGAUUCAACUUGAAAAGUUUCAGGUUCACUUUUCACCCUAGUUUUCUGUGGGGGCAGGCCUCGACUGAGAGGGGCGCAGUCUGCCAUGAGUGACAGGUCUCCCCCUCCUUCCCCACCCCAUCACCCUGCGUUGGACCAAUAGGAGCCGAGUCUCGUUGCCAUAGUAUCAGAAAUACACAAACAUGGCGAUGACCGCAUCUCGCAGCGAGACAAGCGAAGAGGAAGAAAAGAAAAGGAAAAAAGAAAACAGCCUCCAAAAGUGCAUAAAAAAGGAACGAAACAAUGCUAUAUGCAUCUAUCAUCCAGAGUGAAGACGUUCUCGACUUUACAUGGACAAGUUGGGAAACUUAAAGAACUAGUAUUAGAGAGUGGCUUUCUCUACAGGGUGAGACAAAGGACCUUGCAGAAACUUAUAAACUUUGCGUUGAUAUCAACAUUGACAAUGUUCCUGAUGUCGCUGGGUUUCACAUGACAUGCUUCAAGCGAUUUAUUUGCAAAAGGCGUUUGAGAAACAAGAACGUGAUGCAGCCGCAGGUCAGCCAAACCCCUCAGGCAGCAUCGCCGAUGCAUCCACUAAUUCACUUAUGCGUAUACUAAGGCACCAAUAACUCUUUCAGAUGUUUGGUAGAUGUAUUUAUGACAUUUGAGAAAGAUUUUGUCUUUCCAGAAUCAACAUAGCAGUUUCUACAAGCAAAAACAGCA